ACCUCGGAUCAGACGUGAAUACCCGCUGAACUUAAGCAUAUCACUAA
rnacentral:rRNA from 1 species